CUAAUUUGAUUCCUUGGUCGUUCUUUGUGGUCCCAAUUGUAGACAUUUCUGGUUCAAGAAAAACUUGGGCGCGGCCCGUUAAGUGACUAGCCCAAAGCUCAUCAAACGAAUUGCCUGUGCGUCGUCUCCGUCGAUUCACCAAAAUGAAAAAAAAAAAUUCAAUCAAAUUCAUAAACCCUAAUUUACCUGACACCUGAUACUCUCUAACUUUGCAUACACUAAAUUUUACACAGAUUGGUGAAUGACUUUGAGACAGAUUGUCAAAAAGGUAUUACAAAUUUUAUUUUUCAAACUCUUUUCAUGUUUCCUUUUUAUAAAGUUGAUUUUUUUAGGUUUUUUUUUGUCUUUCUACAAUAAUAUUUGUGUAUAAAACUGAAUUUUAAUCUGUAGGGUGUUGAUGAUAGAGUUGUAGCUUCAAAAUCAUUAACGAAUGAUGAGAUUAUUAUGUGGGGUAAAUAUCUAUGGGUGAGUUUUGGGAUAGACAUGAAAAAUAAAUCAUAAAGUAGGGAUAUUUUUUACAUUAGAAAGUAAUUGACUUAAUUCAGAUGUCUCUAUUAAGUAAAAAGCAAAAAAAAUUGGCUUAUUUUAUUAAGUCAAAAUUAUCUAAAAAGUCCCAUUAAGUUAUAAAAACAAACACCUCUAAUUAACUUAAUUAAUUAAGUUAAGUCACUUUAAGUCAUUAAGUUAAAAAAUAAACGCCACCUUAGUUUAAUCUUGCCUAUGAGGAAUUGGUUUGGUAGUGAGUUAAAUGAUGUGGCAUUUCCUAAGUUAUUUGGUUGUUACAAUUCAUUAUAUCAUAGGACCAAAAAAAUAAUAAUAAAUCAGGAUUAUUUUGAAGUUGAAUAGAGUUAAUUAAAGAAUUGGGCUUGAUAAGAUUAGAUCAGAUGAAACUGUGAGGCGAAAAUAUAUUGAUUUCUAUAAAAUGAAUCUCAUUUGGGGCCUAAUUUGAUUCCUUGGUCGUUCUUUGUGGUCCCAAUUGUAGACAUUUCUGGUUCAAGAAAAACUUGGGCGCGGCCCGUUAAGUGACUAGCCCAAAGCUCAUCAAACGAAUUGCCUGUGCGUCGUCUCCGUCGAUUCACCAAAAUGAAAAAAAAAAAUUCAAUCAAAUUCAUAAACCCUAAUUUACCUGACACCUGAUACUCUCUAACUUUGCAUACACUAAAUUUUACACAGAUUGGUGAAUGACUUUGAGACAGAUUGUCAAAAAGGUAUUACAAAUUUUAUUUUUCAAACUCUUUUCAUGUUUCCUUUUUAUAAAGUUGAUUUUUUUAGGUUUUUUUUU
rnacentral:lncRNA from 1 species